rnacentral:rRNA from 1 species
GACGAACGCUGGCGGCGCGCCUAACACAUGCAAGUCGAACGAGCGAGAGAGAGCUUGCUUUCUUGAGCGAGUGGCGAACGGGUGAGUAACGCGUGAGGAACCUGCCUCAAAGAGGGGGACAACAGUUGGAAACGACUGCUAAUACCGCAUAAGCCCACGGUGCCGCAUGGCACAGAGGGAAAAGGAGCAAUCCGCUUUGAGAUGGCCUCGCGUCCGAUUAGCUAGUUGGUGAGGUAACGGCCCACCAAGGCGACGAUCGGUAGCCGGACUGAGAGGUUGAACGGCCACAUUGGGACUGAGACACGGCCCAGACUCCUACGGGAGGCAGCAGUGGGGAAUAUUGCACAAUGGGGGAAACCCUGAUGCAGCGACGCCGCGUGGAGGAAGAAGGUCUUCGGAUUGUAAACUCCUGUUGUUGGGGAAGGUAAUGACGGUACCCAACAAGGAAGUGACGGCUAACUACGUG